rnacentral:rRNA from 1 species
CACGUAGGGGGCGAGCGUUGUCCGGAUUUAUUGGGCGUAAAGAGCUCGUAGGCGGCUCAGUAAGUCAGGUGUGAAAACUCCAGGCUCAACCUGGAGACGCCACCUGAUACUGCUGUGGCUAGAGUCCGGUAGGGGAGCAUGGAAUUCCUGGUGUAGCGGUGAAAUGCGCAGAUAUCAGGAGGAACACCAGUGGCGAAGGCGGUGCUCUGGGCCGGAACUGACGCUGAGGAGCGAAAACGUGGGGAGCAAACAGG